rnacentral:misc_RNA from 1 species
UAGGCACCAUGGCGGCGAGC